CAGAAAACUAUAAUUGUUCCCCUAGGUCUCAGUCAAUAUAAGUGGUAAUCACCUACAUUCUGCUUCAAUAUUUUACCACCCACAGACAAUUAAUGUCCAUACAUGUCAGAUGCUUUGUUCAUGACUAAACAAACUGGAUACAAACUAGAUAAAUACUGCGUUUAUGUAGGUGUCUUACCCACAAGGCUCCCAAAUAGCUACUUCGUAAAAUACUUUGGCCAAGGACGAUUUUUAGCCAUGAGCCACGACCUAUUGCAAUUUACAAAACUGCAAACUUAAAGGCAAUUGCUCCAAAAGCGUUACGUUUUUCUGUAUCACAAUUCCAUGACCUCGCCAGGUUGUCAAUAUCUUCGUAAAAUACUUCGCAUCUUCGACUUUGGUCAAAGACGAUUUGCACCCUUAUUGGCGCAUGCCGAAAUUGGCGGCCUCGUAAUUAUAUGCUCUUCUUCCAUAACAAUUUCUUCAUAAAUCACGAAAUUUUGGCUAAAGUCCAUUUUCAACAAUGAACUAUACUACUGCAUCAUUACUGCCAUUUACUUCCUUGUUCCAAAUAUCGGAUUCCUACUAUAAUAUUGUCAUUCCUGGCCGAUGAAAACAUACACCCAAGACUAAAGUUUUACUAUUAUUUAUCAUGAGUACGUGAUACAUUUUCAUCAAUACCAUACGUUUUCCACAAAGUGUAUCAGAAAACUAUAAUCUUGCAAUUUUAUUGGCAACUGCAUAAAAUUUUGUCUCAUUUGUACCGAUAUUUCAUUUAUAUUUCUUCCAUUCCUUGGCAUGAAGUAUUUAUCACUGAUUCGAUACUCGUUUCCCUUGGCCUUGCACAUCCCCUUCAAGUGAUGCAGUUUUAAAGUAAGUAGAAAUUCUUCCUAACGUCCUAGACUGUUCACUGUAACGUGCCAUGUCUAAUUAUUGAAUGGCUGGGACAAUAUAAUUAUAUAAUGCUACAGUCUGUGAUUCUACCGGAAUGUUUGUUUCUCGUGUUAUUAUUAACUCUGAGAAGUAGUAGAUUUAAUGUACUUCAUUUCGUCUUUAAUUAAAGCUCUUUUUAAUCUAGCUCUUCCGAAAUUAUGAAGAAAAUGAUUAUCUCCGCACAAUAACAACUCCUUUGUAAAAUGAUUUGUGACGUCAUUCGUUAGUUCAAGGUACUCAAAGGCAAACUUGAAAGGCUUAGUAUAUAGUACUCCAGUAGUAGUAAAAUAAUAUCCUUUAAUGCACCACGUUUACCAGUAGUCUAUCUCUACAAAUUACAUUAAGGAAGCGCUUGAUGUAACUUUGGCCGAAUGCACGUCUUCUUUCUGAUCGUUUUACCAAGAUGCGAUGAAUACAUCACCAUGAGUAUGGAUUUCCGUAAACAUUUCGGCCUUCAGGAUACGGCAUGUACUAUAUAUAGGGCCCAAAUGCGCACGGCAUUGACGAGGUCCGAAGCAAAAUUGGGAGGUGUUUGGCAGGAACUGUCACACAUGUACCUUUUAUCAAGCAAUUGUUUUAAAAGUUCCAUUCAUAAUGAGUAGCAACAUAGUCCAUAAACACAUUCAUUGUGUUCGUUAAUUUGAGGGUCGAUGAAUGAGUUGAUCAUCUAACAACUGCAAUGUAUGCUGGCAGUAUUUAUCGCAGCCAAUCAAGAUAUGGUCUGCAAACUAGAGUGAAGGAUUUCACUUGUUCUAUCUUUUUGUUGUUGUUUAUUCAAAUUAACUUGCGGGAGAGUUUUUAACAGGAGGCAAAUGACGUGGCCUGAACAUAAAAUCGUAUAAUGGACGAACGAUUUGAAGUUUCCGAGUUUCCAUACUCGUAUUCAACCGUGCUGUCUGAACCACUUCAGU